rnacentral:rRNA from 1 species
UACGUAGGGUGCGAGCGUUGCCCGGAUUUAUUGGGCGUAAAGGGCGCGUAGGCGGCUCUGCACGUCCGUUGUGAAAUCGCCCGGCUCAACUGGGCGGGGUCAGCGGAUACGGCAGAGCUCGAGCAAGCUAGGGGGCAAUGGAAUUCCCGGUGUAGCGGUGAAAUGCGUAGAGAUCGGGAGGAAUACCGAUGGCGAAAGCAACCGUCUGGGCCUGAACUGACACUGAGACACGAAAGCGUGGGGAGCAAACAGG